rnacentral:rRNA from 1 species
GACGAACGCUGGCGGCGUGCUUAACACAUGCAAGUCGAACGGGCCUUGUCCCCUUUUUUUUUGGGGGUGGGGUUAGUGGCGAACGGGUGAGUAACACGUGAGUAACCUGCCCCUCACUUCUGGAUAACCGCUUGAAAGGGUGGCUAAUACGGGGUGUUCUGGCCUGCUCGCAUGGGUGGGUUUGGAAAGAUUCGACCGGUUUUGGUUGUUUUGGUGGGGGAUGGGCUCGCGGCCUAUCAGCUUGUUGGUGGGGUGAUGGCCUGCCAAGGCUUUGACGGGUAGCCGGCCUGAGAGGGUGGGCGGUCACACUGGGACUGAGACACGGCCCAGACUCCUACGGGAGGCAGCAGUGGGGAAUAUUGCACAAUGGGCGCAAGCCUGAUGCAGCGACGCCGCGUGAGGGAUGGAGGCCUUCGGGUUGUGAACCUCUUUCGCCAGUGAAGAAGGUCCUGCUCUUUGUGGUGGGGUUGACGGUAGCGGGGGUAAUGAAGCGCCGGCUAACUACGUG